rnacentral:lncRNA from 1 species
GUUCAUCUCUCCGAUUUCGGCUAUGGCAAACUGUGUACAUCUACAUAGAUUCGUAUUUAAAGGUAUAUGCAUAUAUUUAUAUGUAUAUUUGCGUGUAUAUGUGUAGGUUCACGGUCAUCUACUCAAUGCACACAACAAUCGAAGUGAUGGCAAACGAAAAUUCUUUUUAUUAUUUUAUAUGUAAUCUUAACCAUAGGUUUUCCUCUACAUAAGUGUGUACAUAUGUACGUAUGCAUGUAUGUGUCUAUAUAUGCAAAAAAAAUACAUGUAUAUAAUAUAUUAUAUUACGAUCUGUCAACUGUGGGCUACGCAUCUUAUCAAGACAUUCGACAGUGACAACAGAGAUACAGUCAGUUGUAUCAAAUCCUUCCAUCUAGCCAUUUAUGGUUAGAAACAAUCGAUCGAGUUUUGAUGGUUUGUUUGCAAAUUGCCAAAUUUCUGCUAAUUUGUGCACGAGAUACACAUGGGAUAUACAUAUCAUAAGAUUAUGUCUAUGUGCCUAUGCAUAUCCCUUGUGAUGUGCCUGUGAAUGCACUCUUGAUGCUGGAAUUAAAAUUUGUCUAUACCACUUAACACCUAGGGGUGUGAGAGAUCUUUUGAAACUGAUUCUCUUUCUGAGUUUUUACAUUUUUUGCUGUUGUCAAUAUUUAAUUGGGGAACAUGGAACGUGAGUGGGAGAAAGUUAAUUUGUGAUUUUCAGUUGUUUUAGAUGUUCUCAACUGCGCUCCUCUAAGCCGCUCAAGGGCGUCAAAUAAUUUUGCUAAUUUCGUAAUUAAUUAAUCGAUUGGUUUCGUUUGCCUCCUGCGAUAGCUCGGCUGCUCUUAGACUCAAAAGAUGUCAACAAAAAGAGACGCAAAAUGUCAGUUCAAAAAUAUAUAUAUGCAUAUGCAUGUCCCUAUGCAUCCCUAUGGAUGGCCUAUGCCUUCGAUGUGCGCUUUUCAUUUUUGGUUUUGGGGGAAGGGCUCCGCUUUCAUAAAUUUCAACUAUGCAAAAAUUAAUGCGACAAAAAUUUAAUUUAGUUUACAAUUUAAAUUUGUGUGUUUCUUGUCUUUUUUCCUCAUAAUUUUCAAGGGUUUUCUUCGCGUUUUUCUUAUUUUUUUUUGGUUUAGUUGGUUUCAGCAAAUGUUGCGCAUUUGUUUUGUGUUCAAACUUUGUCAAGGAAAAGGUUAGUGUGGAUGUGGGAAGGUAAAUGGGUGAUCGAUCAAGUGAGUGGUUGUAUAAAUAUUUGCACUAUGUUAUAUGUAUGUAUAUAUAAAAAAAAUCGCAUAGUUUUUGUGUGUCUUUGUACUUUGUUAGAAAUUCACGCAGAUAUGCUGAGAAAUAGUCCAAC